rnacentral:rRNA from 1 species
CGUUUGACAUGUCCGGACGAUUUCCAGAGAUGGAUCUCUUCCUUCGGGGACUGGAACACAGGUGCUGCAUGGCUGUCGUCAGCUCGUGUCGUGAGAUGUUGGGUUAAGUCCCGCAACGAGCGCAACCCUCGCCUUUAGUUACCAUCAUUUAGUUGGGUACUCUAAAGGAACCGCCGGUGAUAAGCCGGAGGAAGGUGGGGAUGACGUCAAGUCCUCAUGGCCCUUACGCGCUGGGCUACACACGUGCUACAAUGGCAACUACAGUGGGCAGCGACCCUGCGAGGGCGAGCUAAUCCCCAAAAGUUGUCUCAGUUCGGAUUGUUCUCUGCAACUCGAGAGCAUGAAGGCGGAAUCGCUAGUAAUCGCGGAUCAGCAUGCCGCGGUGAAUACGUUCCCAGGCCUUGUACACACCGCCCGUCACACCAUGGGAGUUGGAUUCACCCGAAGGCGUUGCGCCAACCCGCAAGGGAAGCAGGCGACCACGGUGGGUUCAGCGACUGGGGUGAAGUCGUAACAAGGUAGGCGUAGACGU